rnacentral:rRNA from 1 species
AUGAAAGCAGGGAGGCCCCCUCCUUGGGAGGGUAGGGCUCGGAGUUUGCCAAAAAAAGGACCAGCAGUCAACCAUGGAGAAGAAAAUUUGAACAGAAUUGCAAAUUUGCCCGGGGGCAGUAGAGUCAUUUUGCAUGGCAUUGUGCAAAUCAAAAAUAUUUUUCACUUCUUAUGCAUGUAUUAUCAUGAACAACUUUGUUGCCGCACAAACCGUAAAAAAGACAUAAUGUCUUCGGAUCAAAGUGAGAUUUUAUGUUGUACUUUGUUCAGAGGCAAAAUAAGUGGGCAAGUUCCAUCUUAG